CAAUUGGUAGCAGAAAGAAAAGCUGCUUACUCAGCUGAUUGUGCGAAACCAGGCACAAAAGAGUUUGAAAACAGAAGGUUGACAAUCGCUUCAAUCGCUGACUGACUUCAUGGUGCAUGUAUUACCUAUUGAAAAAAAAAGACAGGUCUGCAAUUAAAAGCUAAGAUGGAUGCAAAACAUGGGCUCGUGCUUGAAACAUGGAUUUGCUUGAAGCUACUUUUUUUCAGAAUUGUGCGAUUUUGUGAGAUUAAUUAGUUAUACUGAUUUCAUGCUAAAUAGAAAGACUUUGAUGUUUUAUGCAA